rnacentral:rRNA from 1 species
AGAGUUUGAUCCUGGCUCAGGACGAACGCUGGCGGCGCGCCUAACACAUGCAAGUCGAACGAGCGAGAGAGAGCUUGCUUUCUCGAGCGAGUGGCGAACGGGUGAGUAACGCGUGAGGAACCUGCCUCAAAGAGGGGGACAACAGUUGGAAACGACUGCUAAUACCGCAUAAGCCCACGGGUCGGCAUCGACCAGAGGGAAAAGGAGCAAUCCGCUUUGAGAUGGCCUCGCGUCCGAUUAGCUAGUUGGUGAGGUAACGGCCCACCAAGGCGACGAUCGGUAGCCGGACUGAGAGGUUGAACGGCCACAUUGGGACUGAGACACGGCCCAGACUCCUACGGGAGGCAGCAGUGGGGAAUAUUGCACAAUGGGGGAAACCCUGAUGCAGCGACGCCGCGUGGAGGAAGAAGGUCUUCGGAUUGUAAACUCCUGUUGUUGAGGAAGAUAAUGACGGUACUCAACAAGGAAGUGACGGCUAACUACGUGCCAGCAGCCGCGGUAAAACGUAGGUCACAAGCGUUGUCCGGAAUUACUGGGUGUAAAGGGAGCGCAGGCGGGAAGACAAGUUGGAAGUGAAAUCCAUGGGCUCAACCCAUGAACUGCUUUCAAAACUGUUUUUCUUGAGUAGUGCAGAGGUAGGCGGAAUUCCCGGUGUAGCGGUGGAAUGCGUAGAUAUCGGGAGGAACACCAGUGGCGAAGGCGGCCUACUGGGCACCAACUGACGCUGAGGCUCGAAAGUGUGGGUAGCAAACAGGAUUAGAUACCCUGGUAGUCCACACUGUAAACGAUGAUUACUAGGUGUUGGAGGAUUGACCCCUUCAGUGCCGCAGUUAACACAAUAAGUAAUCCACCUGGGGAGUACGACCGCAAGGUUGAAACUCAAAGGAAUUGACGGGGGCCCGCACAA